rnacentral:tRNA from 1 species
AGGUGAUUAGUCUAAGUAAAAUACUUGAUUUCGGCUCAAGAGUCUGUGGUUAAAGUCCACAAUUGCCUAAUGACCCCCA